rnacentral:rRNA from 1 species
AGCGAACGCUGGCGGCAGGCUUAACACAUGCCAGUCGAGCGGGCAUCCUUGUGGUGUCAGCGGCAGACGGGUGAGUAACGCGUGGGAACGUGCCCUUCGGUUCGGAAUAACUCAGGGAAACUUGAGCUAAUACCGGAUACGCCCUUUUGGGGAAAGGUUUACUGCCGAAGGAUCGGCCCGCGUCUGAUUAGCUAGUUGGUGAGGUUAUGGCUCACCAAGGCGACGAUCAGUAGCUGGUCUGAGAGGAUGAUCAGCCACACUGGGACUGAGACACGGCCCAGACUCCUACGGGAGGCAGCAGUGGGGAAUAUUGGACAAUGGGGGCAACCCUGAUCCAGCCAUGCCGCGUGAGUGAUGACGGCCUUAGGGUUGUAAAGCUCUUUUCUCCGGGACGAUAAUGACGGUACCGGAGGAAUAAGCCCCGGCUAACUUCGUG